ACUUUUCUGUGGCUCAGGCAAUAGAACAUUGCACUAGCAAUGCAAAGAUUGUGGGUUCAAACCUCACGGAAAGCA